AAGGAGAAAUGACAUGGCCUUUUGGUGACCAAGAGCCUCCAUAGCUGAACUACUCCCUGCUUGGUUUGCCUUUGACAAAAAUAGAUUCCAAUAUCUUUUUUUGAUAAUUACGCCAAUAUAAAACAAUGGAAGGAAACAGAAAGUGUCUCUGGUGAUAAUAAUAUGUGACUUCUCUGUAGCUGAUCAACCCCAUGUUCUUGAACACUUGAAGUACCUGUACAAUGCCAUUGGUUUAUGGAGUACUGAAUAUCUGUGAUUGAGAUGAUACGUUGCUACAUACUUCCUCACCUUUUUUGCUGAAGCACCUGCACACAAAAUAGCAAAACUAAGCAAAAUAUUGCCAGCUGGAAACUUUCCAAAAAGAUAUGGUUGACUUUUCCAGGUGCAUCGGGCGUGAUCUGUUGGUCCUGUAAGAAUAUUGAGGAAUAGUUUUUUUACGAAGUGCACGUAUGUAUGAAGAGCAAUUGUUGGCUUUACGUAUGCAUCAUUCUCAAAUUGGUCUGGAAUUUCAGUUGUGCCUUUUUCUUCUUGAAAAUAGCACGAAUCUUCUUUCUUCAUGCAUGAUACAGACACUUCAUUUUGUAUUUCCUUUAAAACCUUAGUAUAAAUGUAUAUUAUAUAUUGAAAGUUUGCCUGGAUGUAUUAUUGGUUCUCUCAAAUUGUGAAAGUUUAUCAUCUGCAA